CCUACGGGAGGCUGCAGUAGGGAAUAUUGCUCAAUGGGGGAAACCCUGAAGCAGCAACGCCGCGUGGAGGAUGAAGGUUUUCGGAUUGUAAACUCCUUUUGUUAGAGAAGAGAAUGACGGUAUCUAACGAAUAAGCACCGGCUAACUCCGUGCCAGCAGCCGCGGUAAUACGGAGGGUGCAAGCGUUACUCGGAAUCACUGGGCGUAAAGAGCGCGUAGGCGGGAUCGCAAGUCAGAUGUGAAAUCCUAGGGCUUAACCCUAGAACUGCAUUUGAAACUGUUAUUCUAGAGUAUGGGAGAGGUAGGUGGAAUUCUUGGUGUAGGGGUCAAAUCCGUAGAGAUCAAGAGGAAUACUCAUUGCGAAGGCGACCUGCUAGAACAUAACUGACGCUGAUGCGCGAAAGCGUGGGGAGCAAACAGGAUUAGAUACCCGAGUAGUC
rnacentral:rRNA from 1 species